rnacentral:rRNA from 1 species
GUUGAACGCUGGCGGCGGGCCUAAUACAUGCAAGUCGGACGAGCGGAGGACGGGUGAGUAAUGUAUGGGGAUCUGCCUGAAGGAGGGGGAUAAAUACUGGAAACGGUAGAUAAUACCGCAUAACAUCAGAUGAAGCCUUACGGGAUUAGCUUGUAGGGGAGGUAACGGGUGACCGACGCGUCGAUCCCUAGCUGGUGUGAGAGGAUGAUCAGCCACACUGGGACUGAGACACGGCCCAGACUCCUACGGGAGGCAGCAGUGGGGAAUAUUGCACAAUGGGCGCAAGCCUGAUGCAGCCAUGCCGCGUGUAUGAAGAAGGCCUUCGGGUUGUAAAGUACUUUCAGUCGGGAGGCGUUACCGACAGAAGAAGCACCGGCUAACUCCGUGCCAGCAGCCGCGGUAAUUC